AUUGAACGCUGGCGGCAGGCCUAACACAUGCAAGUCGAACGGUAACAGGAAGAAGCUUGCUUCUUUGCUGACGAGUGGCGGACGGGUGAGUAAUGUCUGGGAAACUGCCUGAUGGAGGGGGAUAACUACUGGAAACGGUAGCUAAUACCGCAUAACGUCGCAAGACCAAAGAGGGGGACCUUCGGGCCUCUUGCCAUCGGAUGUGCCCAGAUGGGAUUAGCUAGUAGGNGGGUAACGGCUCACCUAGGCGACGAUCCUAGCUGGUCUGAGAGGAUGACCAGCCACACUGG
rnacentral:rRNA from 1 species